rnacentral:rRNA from 1 species
GAUGAACGCUGGCGGCGUGCCUAAUACAUGCAAGUCGAGCGAACAGAUAAGGAGCUUGCUCCUUUGACGUUAGCGGCGGACGGGUGAGUAACACGUGGGUAACCUACCUAUAAGACUGGGAUAACUUCGGGAAACCGGAGCUAAUACCGGUUAACAUUUGGAACCGCAUGGUUCUAAAGUGAAAGAUGGUUUUGCUAUCACUUAUAGAUGGACCCGCGCCGUAUUAGCUAGUUGGUAAGGUAACGGCUUACCAAGGCAACGAUACGUAGCCGACCUGAGAGGGUGAUCGGCCACACUGGAACUGAGACACGGUCCAGACUCCUACGGGAGGCAGCAGUAGGGAAUCUUCCGCAAUGGGCGAAAGCCUGACGGAGCAACGCCGCGUGAGUGAUGAAGGGUUUCGGCUCGUAAAACUCUGUUAUUAGGGAAGAACAAACGUGUAAGUAACUGUGCACGUCUUGACGGUACCUAAUCAGAAAGCCACGGCUAACUACGUG